rnacentral:rRNA from 1 species
GCGCCAGACUCCUACGGGAGGCAGCAGUGAGGAAUAUUGGUCAAUGGGCGAGAGCCUGAACCAGCCAAGUCGCGUGAGGGACGACGGCCCUACGGGUUGUAAACCUCUUUUGCCGGGGGACAAACGGCGGCACGCGUGCCGUCCUGAGGGUACCCGGAGAAAAAGCAUCGGCUAACUCCGUGCCAGCAGCCGCGGUAAUACGGAGGAUGCGAGCGUUAUCCGGAUUUAUUGGGUUUAAAGGGUGCGUAGGCGGUUUUUUAAGUUAGUGGUUAAACGUCGGGGCUUCACCUUGAUUUGCCAUUAAUACUGUAAGACUCGAGUUCAGACGAGGUAGGCGGAAUAAGUUAAGUAGCGGUGAAAUGCUUAGAUAUAACUUAGAACUCCGAUAGCGAAGGCAGCUUACCAGACUGCGACUGACGCUGAAGCACGAGAGCGUGGGUAGCGAACAGGAUUAGAUACCCGUGUAUCC